rnacentral:rRNA from 1 species
CCUACGGGUGGCAGCAGUGGGGGAUAUUGCACAAUGGGGGGAACCCUGAUGCAGCGACGCCGCGUGGGUGAAGAAGCGCCUCGGCGCGUAAAGCUCUGUUAGCAGGGAAGAAAAUGACGGUACCUGAAGAAGAAGCUCCGGCUAACUACGUGCCAGCAGCCGCGGUAAUACGCAGGGGGCAAGCGUUAUCCGGAUUGACUGGGUGUAAAGGGGGCGCAGACGGCGGUGCAAGCCAGGAGUGAAAGCCCGGGGCUCAACCCCGGGACUGCACUUGAAACUGGGAGGCUGGAGUGCAGGAGGGGCAGGCGGAAUUCCUGGUGUAGCGGUGAAAUGCGUAGAUAUCAGGAGGAACACCGGUGGCGAAGGCGGCCUGCUGGACUGCAACUGACGUUGAGGCCCGAAAGCGUGGGGAGCAAACAGGAUUAGAUACCCGAGUAGUC